ACACAUGCAGUCGAACGGUGAAGCCCAGCUUGCUGNNGGGUCAGUGGCGAACGGGUGAGUANACACGUGAGAAACCUGCCCCUGACUCUGGGAUAAGCCUUGGAAACGAGGUCUAAUACCGGAUAUGUGACGUUCAGGCAUCUGAUGCGUCUGGAAAGAUUUAUCGGUCAGGGAUGGACUCGCGGCCUAUCAGCUUGUUGGUGGGGUAACGGCCUACCAAGGCGACGACGGGUAGCCGGCCUGAGAGGGCGACCGGCCACACUGGGACUGAGACACGGCCCAGACUCCUACGGGAGGCAGCAGUGGGGAAUAUUGCACAAUGG
rnacentral:rRNA from 1 species